CCCUGCACUCUGGGACAAGCCCUGGAAACGGGGUCUAAUACCGGAUAUGACACACGGACGCAUGUCCCGUGUGUGGAAAGCUCCGGCGGUGCAGGAUGAGCCCGCGGCCUAUCAGCUUGUUGGUGGGGUGAUGGCCUACCAAGGCGACGACGGGUAGCCGGCCUGAGAGGGCGACCGGCCACACUGGGACUGAGACACGGCCCAGACUCCUACGGGAGGCAGCAGUGGGGAAUAUUGCACAAUGGGCGAAAGCCUGAUGCAGCGACGCCGCGUGAGGGAUGACGGCCUUCGGGUUGUAAACCUCUUUCAGCAGGGAAGAAGCGCAAGUGACGGUACCUGCAGAAGAAGCACCGGCUAACUACGUG
rnacentral:rRNA from 1 species